rnacentral:rRNA from 1 species
AGUGAACGCUGGCGGUAGGCCUAACACAUGCAAGUCGAACGGCAGCACAGUAAGAGCUUGCUCUUACGGGUGGCGAGUGGCGGACGGGUGAGGAAUACAUCGGAAUCUACUUUUUCGUGGGGGAUAACGUAGGGAAACUUACGCUAAUACCGCAUACGACCUACGGGUGAAAGCAGGGGGUCUUCGGACCUUGCGCGAUUGAAUGAGCCGAUGUCGGAUUAGCUAGUUGGCGGGGUAAAGGCCCACCAAGGCGACGAUCCGCAGCUGGUCUGAGAGGAUGAUCAGCCACACUGGAACUGAGACACGGUCCAGACUCCUACGGGAGGCAGCAGUGGGGAAUAUUGGACAAUGGGCGCAAGCCUGAUCCAGCCUUACCGCGUGGGUGAAGAAGGCCUUCGGGUUGUAAAGCCCUUUUGUUGGGAAAGAAAAGCAGCAGGUUAAUACCCCGCUGUUCUGACGGUACCCAAAGAAUAAGCACCGGCUAACUUCGUG